AGAGUUUGAUCCUGGCUCAGAACGAACGUUGGCGGCGUGGAUUAGGCAUGCAAGUCGAACGAAUCCCAGUCUCUCACUUUGCCCUUUUCCGUCGCUUGCGGUUUAGCGUUUACCGCGCUAAACCGCAAGCGGCGCUGAAGAGGUCGAAGUGAGAGGCUGGGGGAAGUGGCGAAAGGGGCAGUAAUGUGUGGGUAACCUACCCUGGGGACCGGGAUAGCCAUUCCAACGAGUGGGUAAUACCGGGCAAUGUAGUUGAGGGGCAUCUCUUGGCUACCAGAUGGAUUCCGCCCUGGGAGGGGCUCACAUCGUAUUAGCUUGUUGGCGGGGUAACGGCCCACCAAGGCAAAGAUGCGUAGCGGGUGUGAGAGCACGACCCGCGCCACUGGCACUGAGACACUGGCCAGACACCUACGGGUGGCUGCAGUCGAGGAUCUUUGGCAAUGAGCGAAAGCUUGACCAAGCGACGCCGCGUGUGCGAUGAAGGCCUUCGGGUUGUAAAGCACUGUCGAGGGGGACGAAGCCGAAAGGUUGACCGAUCCCUGGAGGAAGCUCGGGCUAAGUUCGUGCCAGCAGCCGCGGUAAGACGAACCGAGCGAACGUUGUUCGGAAUCACUGGGCUUAAAGGGCGCGUAGGCGGCUCAUCAAGUCAGGGGUGAAAUACUUCAGCUUAACUGGAGAAGUGCCUUUGAUACUGGUGGGCUCGAGGGAGGUAGGGGCAUGUGGAACUUCUGGUGGAGCGGUGAAAUGCGUUGAUAUCAGAAGGAACGCCGGUGGCGAAAGCGACGUGCUGGACCUCAUCUGACGCUGAGGCGCGAAAGCUAGGGGAGCAAACGGGAUUAGAUACCCCCGUAGUCC
rnacentral:rRNA from 1 species